rnacentral:tRNA from 1 species
GCUCAGUGGUAGAGCUAUCGGCUGUUAACCGAUCGGUCGUAGGUUCGAGUCCUACCUGCGGAGCCA